rnacentral:rRNA from 1 species
UACAGAGGGGGCAAGCGUUAUUCGGAAUUAUUGGGCGUAAAGGGCGCGUAGGCGGCUUGGCAAGUGGAAGGUGAAAUCCCUCGGCUUAACCGAGGAACUGCCCUCCAAACUGCUUUGCUUGAGGCCGGGAGAGGUGAGUGGAAUUCCCAGUGUAGCGGUGAAAUGUGUAGAGAUCCGGAGGAACACCAGUGGUGCAAACGGCGCCCUGGGUCCGAACUGACGCUGAAGCACGAAAGCAUGGGGAGCGAACGGG